UGGGGCAUUGUCUAAUGGUAGGACGCAUGAUUCUGGUUCAUGAGGUCGGGGUUCGACUCCCUGUGCCCCAGCCA
rnacentral:tRNA from 1 species